UACAGAGGUCUCAAGCGUUGUUCGGAUUCAUUGGGCGUAAAGCGUGCGCAGGCGGUUUGUUAAGUCUGCUGUGAAAUCCCCGAGCUCAACUUGGGAAUUGCAGUGGAUACUGGCAAGCUGGAGUACGGUAGAGGAAGGUGGAAUUCCCGGUGUAGCAGUGAAAUGCGUAGAGAUCGGGAGGAACACCAGUGGCGAAGGCGGCCUUCUGGACCAGUACUGACGCUCAUGCACGAAAGCGUGGGGAGCAAACAGG
rnacentral:rRNA from 1 species